ACAGGGAGGACAGGUGGUGCAUGGUUGUCGUCAGCUCGUGUCGUGAGAUGUUGGUUAAGUCCCGCAACGAGCGCAACCCUUAUUCUUAGUUGCCAGCAUGUAAUGGUGGGGCACUCUAGGGAGACUGCCGGUGACAAACCGGAGGAAGGUGGGGAUGACGUCAAAUCAUCAUGCCCUUUAUGACCUGGGCUACACACGUGCUACAAUGGCCUGUACAAAGGGUAGCGAAGCCGCGAGGUGGAGCCAAUCCCAAAAAGCAGGUCUCAGUUCGGAUUGCAGGCUGCAACUCGCCUGCAUGAAGUCGGAAUCGCUAGUAAUCGCGGAUCAGCACGCCGCGGUGAAUACGUUCCCGGGCCUU
rnacentral:rRNA from 1 species